GAUGAACGCUGGCGGCGUGCCUAAUACAUGCAAGUCGAGCGAACGGACGAGAAGCUUGCUUCUCUGAUGUUAGCGGCGGACGGGUGAGUAACACGUGGAUAACCUACCCAUAAGACUGGGAUAACUUCGGGAAACCGGAGCUAAUACCGGAUAAUAUUUUGAACCGCAUGGUUCAAAAGUGAAAGACGGUCUUGCUGUCACUUAUAGAUGGAUCCGCGCUGCAUUAGCUAGUUGGUAAGGUAACGGCUUACCAAGGCAACGAUGCAUAGCCGACCUGAGAGGGUGAUCGGCCACACUGGAACUGAGACACGGUCCAGACUCCUACGGGAGGCAGCAGUAGGGAAUCUUCCGCAAUGGGCGAAAGCCUGACGGAGCAACGCCGCGUGAGUGAUGAAGGUCUUCGGAUCGUAAAGCUCUGUUAUUAGGGAAGAACAUAUGUGUAAGUAACUGUGCACAUCUUGACGGUACCUAAUCAGAAAGCCACGGCUAACUACGUGCCAGCAGCCGCGGUAAUACGUAGGUGGCAAGCGUUAUCCGGAAUUAUUGGGCGUAAAGCGCGCGUAGGCGGUUUUUUAGUCUGAUGUGAAAGCCCACGGCUCAACCGUGGAGGGUCAUUGGAAACUGGAAAACUUGAGUGCAGAAGAGGAAAGUGGAAUUCCAUGUGUAGCGGUGAAAUGCGCAGAGAUAUGGAGGAACACCAGUGGCGAAGGCGACUUUCUGGUCUGUAACUGACGCUGAUGUGCGAAAGCGUGGGGAUCAAACAGGAUUAGAUACCCUGGUAGUCCACGCCGUAAACGAUGAGUGCUAAGUGUUAGGGGGUUUCCGCCCCUUAGUGCUGCAGCUAACGCAUUAAGCACUCCGCCUGGGGAGUACGACCGCAAGGUUGAAACUCAAAGGAAUUGACGGGGACCCGCACAAGCGGUGGAGCAUGUGGUUUAAUUCGAAGCAACGCGAAGAACCUUACCAAAUCUUGACAUCCUUUGACAACUCUAGAGAUAGAGCCUUCCCCUUCGGGGGACAAAGUGACAGGUGGUGCAUGGUUGUCGUCAGCUCGUGUCGUGAGAUGUUGGGUUAAGUCCCGCAACGAGCGCAACCCUUAAGCUUAGUUGCCAUCAUUAAGUUGGGCACUCUAAGUUGACUGCCGGUGACAAACCGGAGGAAGGUGGGGAUGACGUCAAAUCAUCAUGCCCCUUAUGAUUUGGGCUACACACGUGCUACAAUGGACAAUACAAAGGGCAGCGAAACCGCGAGGUCAAGCAAAUCCCAUAAAGUUGUUCUCAGUUCGGAUUGUAGUCUGCAACUCGACUACAUGAAGCUGGAAUCGCUAGUAAUCGUAGAUCAGCAUGCUACGGUGAAUACGUUCCCGGGUCU
rnacentral:rRNA from 1 species